rnacentral:rRNA from 1 species
UACGAAGGGGGCUAGCGUUGUUCGGAAUUACUGGGCGUAAAGCGCGCGCAGGCGGUCUUCCAAGUCAGUGGUGAAAGCCUGGAGCUCAACUCCAGAACUGCCAUUGAAACUGUUAGACUUGAGUACGAGAGAGGUGAGUGGAAUUCCCAGUGUAGAGGUGAAAUUCGUAGAUAUUGGGAAGAACACCGGUGGCGAAGGCAGCUCACUGGCUCGUAACUGACGCUCAGGCGCGACAGCGUGGGGAUCAAACAGG